rnacentral:rRNA from 1 species
GCCGGAAAUGUCGUACUCAUCGGACGACGAAAACCGCCCGGGGGAGUGCGACUGGUGCCACGACGACCGAGGUAUGUGCGACAGGUUCAUUGAGCUGGACGAAGAUCGGCGCUUCAGCAUUAAGCUCGAGGAGACGUGCGAUGUUCAUACGCUUAUUUUCAUUCUUCAAAGAAUGUGCGGAAGAUGGUAGACAGAACGUACUACACUGAAGGCUCCGAAUUAACUUAUCAGGAGAAAAAUCAUCUGGUCGGAUUUUGUACUGAUCUUGAGAAUUACAAUAUCUACAAUCAAACUCCUCAAC